UGUUGCACAGGGGGAGAUGAGAGGACACUAAUGACUGAUACAGGUAGAGAUGAGGGGGACACUAAUGACUGUGACACUGGGAAAGAUGAGGGGGACACUAAUGAAUGGUACACAUGGGAGAUGAGGGGACAAUAAUGACUGACAGAGAUGAUGGGACACUAAAAUAUGUGACACAAGGAAAAUGAGGGGACACUUAUGACUCAUACAGGGGGAGAUGAGAGGGACACUAAUGACUGAUGCACAGGGGAAGAUGAGGGGGCACAUUAAUGACUGUGACACAAGUUAAAUGAGGAGACACUAAUGACAGUAACACAAGGGAAAUGAGGGGACACUAGUGACCGACACAGGGGGAGAUGAGUGGACACUAAUGACUGUGACACAGGAGGAUAUGAGGGGACACUAAUGAUUGUGACACAGGAGGAUAUGAGGGGACACUAAUGAUUGUGACACAGGAGGAUAUGAGGGGACACUAAUGAUUGUGACACAGGAGGAUAUGAGGGGACAUUAAUCACUGAUUAUAUGACGUAACAUUGAGUCACAUACAGCAUCCAGGUUCCAAGAUCAGUAACAAAUUUCUCAAGCCCUAGUUUAAAAGUUUCGCUUAAACUAAAAAGUUUCGCUGAGUAAGAUCAGUCCUGAAGAAGGACAAUUACGGAUACACAAGUCUUGUCCUCUCAUCUUACUUUAGACCCCCUAGUAUUUGGAUUGCCCCUAAUCCUGACAGCCAAAAGUUCUACUGUAAAGGUAAAAAGAACGGGGGGGAAAAAAAAAAUGUAAAAUCUGCAAAACUGCGAUUAGAACGAGCAAACAUCCUGCUCAUAAUUACUGCCUGAAAUAGGACAAAUAAGAGAAUAACAAUAAUAGGUGUCCACAUACCCAACGCCGGUUUAUAUUUCAUAUACUACCUUCAUAUACCACAUUGACAUUUAAUUUGUUUAAAGCCUAUUAUACGCUGGUACAGACAUCAGCAAAACACAACUUUUCAAGAUUUCUAUUGGUGUCUGGCAGCCGAAUAAAUAGCGGCAGAGAGUGAUAGACCCCGGAGUAAGCGAGUGCGGUCCAGAGUAAGCGAGUGCGGUCCGGAGUAAGCGAGUGCGGUCCGGAGUAAGCGAGUGCGGUCCGGAGUAAGCGAGUGCGGUCCGGAGUAAGCGAGUGCGGUCCGGAGUAAGCGAGUGCGGUCCGGAGUAAGCGAGUGCGGUCCGGAGUAAGCGAGUGCGGUCCGGAGUAAGCGAGUGCGGUCCGGAGUAAGCGAGUGCGGUCCGGAGUAAUCACAUUUUCUAUCCAAGAUCUUCUCCGCUGAUCCCAAUGAAGGGGCCGCUGAUCCUCCUGCUGGCCCUGUCGGCGGGGAUCGCGCAUGUGCACUUUUGAUUGGGCAAAAGACUCCGGAAGAAAAAUUAUGGACAGCGCCAGAUUUGUAAAACAAGCCGGUCAAGGGACAGUGUGGAUCCUCUGGAGGAGGCAGAAAGGCCUUUGGCUGUCUGGGCAUACUGGGAGUUUUGCAACAUCUGGAGGGCCUCAGUUUGAGACCACUGCCUACAGUGAAGGAAAAAAGAUCUUGGGACAUGGGUCGCGCCUACAUGGACAUGAGAGAAGCCAACUUCAAGGAUUCGGACAAGUAUUUCCACGCCCGAGGGAACUACGACGCUGCCAGAAGAGGGAGCGGAGGAGCCUGGGCAGACAAGGUUAUAAGGUAUGUGGCCCUAUAUUUAUGGGAUCAAUGAGGGAUCUAAGAUUAGGAUC